rnacentral:rRNA from 1 species
GAUGAACGCUGGCGGCGUGCCUAAUACAUGCAAGUAGAACGCUGAAGGAGGAGCUUGCUCUUCUGGAUGAGUUGCGAACGGGUGAGUAACGCGUAGGUAACCUGCCUGGUAGCGGGGGAUAACUAUUGGAAACGAUAGCUAAUACCGCAUGACAACAGUUAUUGCAUGAUAACUGUUUAAAAGGGGCAACUGCUCCACUACCAGAUGGACCUGCGUUGUAUUAGCUAGUUGGUGAGGUAACGGCUCACCAAGGCGACGAUACAUAGCCGACCUGCGAGGGUGAUCGGCCACACUGGGACUGAGACACGGCCCAGACUCCUACGGGAGGCAGCAGUAGGGAAUCUGCGGCAAUGGACGGAAGUCUGACCGAGCAACGCCGCGUGAGUGAAGAAGGUUUUCGGAUCGUAAAGCUCGGUUGUAAGAGAAGAACGAGUGUGAGAGUGGAAAGUUCACACUGUGACGGUAUCUUACAAGAAAGGGACGGCUAACUACGUG